rnacentral:rRNA from 1 species
UACGUAGGUGGCAAGCGUUGUCCGGAAUUACUGGGCGUAAAGGGCGUGUAGGCGGCCUUUUAAGUCAGGCGUGAAAUAUUAGGGCUUAACCCUGAGACUGCGUUUGAGACUGGAAGGCUUGAGGAUCGGAGAGGGCAGUGGAAUUCCCAGUGUAGCGGUGAAAUGCGUAGAGAUUAGGAAGAACACCAGUGGCGAAGGCGGCUCUCUGGACUGUAACUGACGCUGAGGCACGAAAGCGUGGGGAGCAAAC